rnacentral:rRNA from 1 species
GAUGAACGCUAGCGGCAGGCCUAAUACAUGCAAGUCGAACGCACCGCAAGGUGAGUGGCGCACGGGUGAGUAACACGUGGGAAUGUACCCUUUGGUUCGGAAUAACGUUUGGAAACGAACGCUAAUACCGGAUGAGCACUACGGGGGAAAGAUUUAUCGCCAAAGGAGCAGCCCGCGUCUGAUUAGGUAGUUGGUGGGGUAAAGGCCUACCAAGCCGACGAUCAGUAGCUGGUCUGAGAGGAUGAUCAGCCACACUGGGACUGAGACACGGCCCAGACUCCUACGGGAAGCAGCAGUGGGGAAUAUUGGACAAUGGGCGCAAGCCUGAUCCAGCCAUGCCGCGUUAUUGAUGAAGGCCUUCGGGUUGUAAAGCUCUUUCGCACACGACGAUGAUGACGGUAGUGCGAGAAGAAGCCCCGGCUAACUUCGUGCCAGCAGCCGCCGUAAAAC